UCAGGAUAGCUCAGUCGGUACAGCAUAAGACUCUUAAUUUCAGGGUUGUGGGUUCAAGUCCCACACUGGGCAAAA